CAGAAUGGUGAAAAACAGGGGAAGAUGCAGCAGACUGGGCAGUAAAAGACGUAGCAAAAGAUCGCGCUGUGGAUUCUGGAA
rnacentral:snoRNA from 1 species